AACGAACGCUGGCGGCAUGCCUAACACAUGCAAGUCGAACGAGACCUUCGGGUCUACUUGCGCACUUGUGCGUAACGCGUCGGAAGCUGCCCUUAUGUUCGGAAUAACUCCCCGAAAGGGGGGCUAAUUCCGGAAAAGGUCUUCUGACCAAAGAUUUAUCGACUUGGGAGGGGCCGGCGUUGGAUUAGCUGGUUGGUAGUGUAAAAGCCUAGCAAGGCUACGAUCCAUAGCUGGUCUGAGAGGAAGAUCAGCCACACUGGGUCUAAGACACGGCCCAGAAUCUUACGGGAGGGAGCAGUGGGGGAUACAGGCAAACGGCGGAAGGGAUGAUCCAGCAAUGCCGGGUGAGUGAUGAAGGCCGUAGGGUAGUAAAGCUCUUUUACCCGGGAUGAUAAUGACAGUACCGGGAGAAUAAGCACCGGCUAACUCCGUG
rnacentral:rRNA from 1 species